rnacentral:rRNA from 1 species
GAUGAACGCUGGCGGCGUGCCUAAUACAUGCAAGUCGAGCGAACAGACGAGGAGCUUGCUCCUCUGACGUUAGCGGCGGACGGGUGAGUAACACGUGGAUAGCCUACCUAUAAGACUGGGAUAACUUCGGGAAACCGGAGCUAAUACCGGAUAAUAUAUUGAACCGCAUGGUUCAAUAGUGAAAGACGGUCUUGCUGUCACUUAUAGAUGGAUCCGCGCCGCAUUAGCUAGUUGGUAAGGUAACGGCUUACCAAGGCAACGAUGCGUAGCCGACCUGAGAGGGUGAUCGGCCACACUGGAACUGAGACACGGUCCAGACUCCUACGGGAGGCAGCAGUAGGGAAUCUUCCGCAAUGGGCGAAAGCCUGACGGAGCAACGCCGCGUGAGUGAUGAAGGUCUUCGGAUCGUAAAACUCUGUUAUUAGGGAAGAACAAAUGUGUAAGUAACUAUGCACGUCUUGACGGUACCUAAUCAGAAAGCCACGGCUAACUACGUG